rnacentral:rRNA from 1 species
UACGGAGGGUGCAAGCGUUAUCCGGAUUCACUGGGUUUAAAGGGUGCGUAGGUGGACUAGUAAGUCAGUGGUGAAAUCUCCGGGCUUAACCCGGAAACUGCCAUUGAUACUAUUAGUCUUGAAUACCGUGGAGGUCAGCGGAAUAUGUCAUGUAGCGGUGAAAUGCUUAGAUAUGACAUAGAACACCAAUUGCGAAGGCAGCUGGCGACACGAAUAUUGACACUCAGGCACGAAAGCGUGGGGAUCAAACAGG